UUUUAUUUAAUUAUAAGGCUGCCUUUUUUUUCGUUAAUUUUUGUUUCUUCCUUUUUUUUUUUUUUUUUUUUUCUUUUUCUUUUUUAAAAAUUUUUUUCUUCUUAAAGCUCAACCCAAAUCUCAGUUCGAAGCCCAGGGAUUUUUAUUAAAUUAUUUAUUAAUGUGGUUUUUUUUGUUUUUGUUUUUUUUGGUUUUUUUUUUGGCCAAUGGAACCACACAUCUGCUUCUAGGAUUACGAUCGUCGUCGACGACGUAGGAUCGUCGAGUCGCGUACGUGCGCCAGAUGCAGAAUCUUCUCCCACGUUUAACCUGACUUUACUUUUGAUUUCUAAAGCUGAUCAGACUGAGCAAUAUUUUUAAUGCCUGUAGAGAAAUGUCAUGAUGCACCUGUUUAAAUAUCUGCAGUAAUCUUGUUUUAAAAAAAAAAAACAACAAAAAAAAAACAAAACCAACCCAUCGCUGUAACGUGUAGAAUGGACUAAACCACUUCUUUGAAGGCCAAUAUUCUAUGUGUUACUUUUAUUUUUUAAUCAUUUCUAUAACUUGGAACGUUUUAUCUGGAAUUCGAAUGAUAGUAUAUGAUUGAUUUAUUUUUUUUAUUUUGUUAAUUUUUUUUUUUUAUAGGAUGUUAAUCGCGGUCAUACAUAUAAACUGCAUGAACACAGACGUGAAUGCUACAUUUCCAUCACCAUCAGGUCAGGAAUAAUCCUUCUCUCAGACUCCGAAACUGUCGCGUUUUUCCCGGAUGCGAGUUUGGUAAACCGCGUAGCCGCGACGCGACGCGCGGCCGCCUCGUCACUCGUCUCCAACCGCUCCGAUUUACUCUUCAAAGGUGAAGCCGUGAAUUAUGUCCCGGUCUCAUUAGCAUAUAAUUAGCAUGCAUCACCCGCCACGACGUAAUGAAUUACUGAGACUUUUUUUGUUUUUGUUUUGAGGGAUUGCGAUUAACCUGGCCACCUUCAUCACCACUGAUGCUAUCAUGGGAAACGAUACUGACCGCGCUCAUGAUUUUUCUACCAGCGUUUCUAUGAAAAUUGUAUAAAACUGAAAAACAGACCGGAACGUUCGGCACGUGUAGUUUCACACGUGUAAGAACAUGGCUUUGUAACGGAAGGUCACUGCAGGUCAAACGCAGCAAACAUUUACAGCUGCGUGCGAAAGUUUGCACUCCCACAUCCUUUUCGUUCUAACUUAAAAUAAAAUCAAUCAAAUAAAAUGAAAUCCCUGCAUCUGUACUGAUGCCGAAUGAAGAACCCUCUCGGUUUCCCAAAAGAACAUUUGACUUAUUAACUUAUCUUUAAACGUUUUGAGCAAAAAGAAGAGGGGGGGGGGGGAUAAAAGAUUUAAUCAUGUGGAAAGGUCGCUGUGGUGGAAAACAGCUACUCGUUUAUCAGCAGGCGUUCUGGGGAACUACGUCCGCCGCCAUCUUUGUUUAUUUUUUUAAGAAGUUUAGGAGAAAAGCUUCUCUCUAGCGCCUUAAAGGGUUCGUCGAUUUGUCCAUCUUUAGCGGAAAUGCUUAAAAGUUCUACAGUGCCAAAACUAAUCAAACAAAAAAAAAAAGCGUGAAAGAAUUAUUUUGUUUAUUGAUUCAAUAGAUUUUUUAACUGAUUAAUAACACUCCUGAUGUCGACGUUUGUGAUUUAAAUCACCAAAUUUCACUCGAGCUGAUAACGUGUCAGAUUCCUUCAAGGUGCAGAGCAGUGUGUAACACAGCCCACGACUGUCUGUACAAAAAAGAGUAAAAAUAAACAAACAAACAAAAAAUCCAGAUUUGGCCAUAAAAGUAAACAUCUUUUCUCACCGUGACACAUUAAAACCCCGACUCGACCUGUUGGACCUGCAGGAAUGUGAAUUCAGCAAUAAAAGUAUUGGGUUUUUUUUUUUUUGUGUGUGUGUGUGUGUGUGUGUUUUAAUUUUGCUUUUUCCCCCGUGUGUGUGUGUGUGAGUGAGAUAGAGUGAGAGAGAACUCUGGGAGAUGUUUCAGCUUCCAGUAUGCUAGGGACUGCUUUAUCUCCAUUAAAUAAAACAAAAUGACCAAAACGUGACUCGGCCUCGACUUUAUUUAUUAGCACUAAUGCUGCGAUUUCACUGAAUAGAAACAAGUUGAUUCAUGUAGCAACAGAACACGCAUAACAUUUUAGAAUUAAGUCUUCAUAACCGCCAGCGUAUGGAAGUCGUGAGGAAUAAAACAAUGAACGUGUUGCUAGAAAUACUUUAUUUGUGGAUUGUUUUUAAUUUGUUUUUAUUUGAUUGCAAUCUAUAAAGGGAACAAAAC
ensembl:lncRNA